rnacentral:tRNA from 2 species
GGGCGAGUGGCGAAAUUGGUAGACGCACCAGAUUUAGGAUCUGGCGCAGUGAUGUGUAAGGGUUCGAGUCCCUUCUCGCCCA